GAAAAGAAACCAACAGGGAUUGCCCUAGUAACGGCGAGUGAAGCGGCAAAAGCUCAAAUUUGAAAUCUGGCCGCAAGGUCCGAGUUGUAAUUUGGAGAGGAAUGUUCGGCGAGACGCAGACCCGAGUCUUCUGGAAGGGAGCGCCACUGAGGGUGAGAGCCCCGUACGGUCGUCAGUCGAGCCAUGCGAACGUCCUUCGAAGAGUCGAGUUGUUUGGGAAUGCAGCUCUAAGCGGGUGGUAAAUUCCAUCUAAAGCUAAAUAUUGGCCAGAGACCGAUAGCGCACAAGUAGAGUGAUCGAAAGAUGAAAAGCACUUUGGAAAGAGAGUGAAACAGUACGUGAAAUUGUUGAAAGGGAAGCGCAAGCGACCAGACUUGGGAGCCAGGCUCAGCCGUCCAUCUGGGCGGUGUACUCCUGCGCUCACGGGCCAGCAUCAGCUCUGGCGGCCGGAGAAAGGCGUGGGGAACGUAGCUCAUCCUCGGACGAGUGUUAUAGCCCCUCGCAGAAUACGGCCAGCCGGGGCUGAGGAUAGCGUUCGCUAGGAUGCUGGCGUAAUGGUUGUUUGCGGCCCGUCUUGAAACACGGACCAAGGAGUCUAACGCCUAUGCGAGUGUUUGGGUGGAAAACCCACACGCGGAAUGAAAGUGAACGGAGGUGAGAGCCUUGCGGCGCAUCAUCGACCGAUCCUGACGUCCUCUGACGGAUUUGAGUAUGAGCAUAGUUGUUGGGACCCGAAAGAUGGUGAACUAUACAUGGAUAGGGCGAAGUCAGGGGAAACCCUGAUGGAGGCUCGCAGACGUUCUGACGUGCAAAUCGAUGUUCAAAUUUGCGUAUGGGGGCGAAAGACC
rnacentral:rRNA from 1 species